rnacentral:rRNA from 1 species
CUUUGGGAUAACCCUCGGAAACGGGGGCUAAUACCGGAUAAGACCGCUGGAUGCAUGUCUGGUGGUGGAAAGUUUUUCGGCCUGGGAUGGGCUCGCGGCCUAUCAGCUUGUUGGUGGGGUGAUGGCCUACCAAGGCGACGACGGGUAGCUGGCCUGAGAGGGCGACCGGCCACACUGGGACUGAGACACGGCCCAGACCCCUACGGGAGGCAGCAGUGGGGAAUAUUGCACAAUGGGCGGAAGCCUGAUGCAGCGACGCCGCGUGAGGGAUGACGGCCUUCGGGUUGUAAACCUCUUUCAGCAGGGACGAAGCGCAAGUGACGGUACCUGCAGAAGAAGCGCCGGCCAACUACGUGCCAGCAGCCGCGGUAAGACGUAGUGCGCGAGCGUUGUCCGGAUUUAUUGGGCGUAAAGAGCUCGUAGGCGGCUUGUCGCGUCGACUGUGAAAACCCGUAGCUCAACUGCGGGCCUGCAGUCGAUACGGGCAGGCUAGAGUUCGGUAGGAGAGACUGGAAUUCCUGGUGUAGCGGUGAAAUGCGCAGAUAUCAGGAGGAACACCGGUGGCGAAGGCGGCUUGCUGGGCCAGUUCUGACGCUGAGGAGCGAAAGCGUGGGGAGCGAACAGGAUUAGAUACCCUGGUAGUCCACGCUGUAAACGUUGGGCGC